GUGGCAGGUCGAUCUUGUAAACAACCCAUGCUGCUUCACACACUGGAAAGUUCUCUCAGGACACUUUGGCCACAGUGUUUCCGUCUCUGGUUUCCUAAAGAUUUAACUCAGUAAGAGUUCUAAAGGCUGAACAUAAGAUAGAAAGAUGAUUAUCCCUAUCCGCUGCUUUACCUGUGGAAAGGUUAUUGGAAACAAGUGGGAAAUCUACUUGGGUUACUUAUCAGCAGAAUAUACAGAAGGUGAUGCCCUAGAUGCUCUUGGCCUGAAGAGAUAUUGCUGCCGGAGGAUGUUAUUAGGACACGUGGAUCUCAUUGAGAAGCUGCUUAACUAUGCCCCACUUGAGAAAUAAUAAAACAUUCUAUUGUAUCAGGUUAAAUGACAUCAAGGUAAUUCUUCAGAGGAAGAAAUGAAAACAAGAUCAAAGUGGAUGGCCUAAAAUUUGAAAUGGUUCCAUGAAGGCCAGCAGCAAGUAAAAGAAGAGAUUUUGUAAUAAAAUAAGAUAAUCUUAA
rnacentral:lncRNA from 1 species